AACGAACGCUGGCGGCAUGCCUAACACAUGCAAGUCGAACGAGACCUUCGGGUCCAUUGUCGCACGGGGGCGUAACGCGUGGGAACCUGCCCUUAGGUUCGGAAUAACUCCCCGAAAGGGAUGCUAAUACCGGAUAGUGUCUUCUGACCGAAGAUUUAUCGCGUUUGGAUGGGCCGGCGUUGGAUUAGCUGGUUGGUAGGGUAAAAGACUAACAAGGGGACGAUCCAUAGCUGGUCUGUGAGGAUGAUCAGCCACACUGGGAGUGAGACGCGGCCCAGAAUCCUACGGGAGGCAGCAGUGGGGAAUAUUGGAACACGGGCUAAAGGCUGAUGCUGUAAUGCCGCGUGAGUGCUGAAGUCAUUAGGGUUGUAAAGUGUUUUUACCCGGGCUGAUAAUGACAGUACCGGGAGAAUAAGCCACGGCUAACUACGUG
rnacentral:rRNA from 1 species